UAUCAUAUAACAUAAAUUUAUUAAUUUUAUUAUUCAUUGACACUCGUGAGUAAUUAAACAACUUUACUUAAAAACUAUUUAAAAAAUUAUUAUCAUGCAAGUUCUCAUACGUUCUCCGUGUAAAAUUUUGUGUAUGUUAACUAUCAAUUUAAUUGUGAAAAUAUUUCGUUUUUAUUAACCUAAAAAGCUUUUAUCAUUGACGAUAUAAUCAUAUACCGAACAUUUAUUAAAAGAACAAAUUAAUAGAAGACUUGGAGAGAUUAAAUAAUAAAAGAUUUGGUUGAAAACAUUUAAAAUGAAUCUAAUGGAAAUGAAAUUGGACAACAACCUGUUGUUUUCUAAAGUGGUAAGACUUAUGUGGUAACCAAAAUAAAUUAAUUUUACUUGAAGUUCUUAAGGAUUUAUUCAUGUUUGUAGUCGAGUUCUAACUUUUUGGACUCAAAUAAAAACUUUGGGUCUCAAAUACUCAGCAUUCCAAAUCUGAGUGUUGAGACUUUUUUUAGAUGUUGAAUAUGUCAAUAUGAGUUCAUUUUUGUCAAUAAAUGGCUUUAAAAAUAUAAGUAUGAAUAACUAUGCUAUGUACACUUAUUUUUCACUUACGAUGUUAAAUACUUCUUUCUUUUUGAUAACAUUGGUAACGAUAUUCAUCGAGGAUGUAUCAAAAAAUUCACCAUUUAUUCCUUGAAGUUUAACGCGAUACUCUUCGGGCUGUUCACGAUUCUUGUCAUUUGCUCUGGUAACUGUUAAAUUUUGUAAGUAGUCAUAAUAUCUUAUGACAAUCCGAUCUUAAAAUUAUUAAAAAAGAAUUAUCGACCUGAAAACUUCUUAAAUCUGGAUAAUUAUUAGGUUUAUUUUGUUUAGUAAUUUAGAUAUUUCAACUAAUUAUAAAAAAAUUCUUUAAUAUAAAGGCAUUUAUUGUGCAAAUAACAAAAAACAAAACUAGGCUCCUCAUUUUAUUUUUACUCAAACACACUCCCCUAAUUUAAUGAAACCUAACAUUUCUAAUUUUUUUAUUCAUUCUGUUAUUCUUUAGUAAUUGCCAUAAAUAAAACUUCGAAACUCGGUAUUUUUGUAACUACAUUUAAUUAAUUAUGAAAUGUAUUAAAGCAAAGGAGAGUCAUUUAACAUAACUAAAAUAAAAAUGUAAUAAAUUCUCAAACAGAAAUAAAAGACAAAAUAAAUAAUGUUCUGUCUUUUCGAAAUAAUGUAAAUAUUAAAUUGUCAACUAUACAUAAUGAGCAUAUGAGAUGAUGUUCUUUUGAACACAGGCAAGACAUAUCUUUAACAAGUAACGUACGUUAUGCAUAUCAUAAGGACUAGAUCUAGUCUUUUUCAUAUCCUUCUUAACGCCUGAAUAACUAUGUUCAGUUUUUAAGAACGAAAAGAGUUUAUGACAUGUGUUGCUCUUGAUACUCAUAGGCUGUAAGUUAACUCUUUUAUUAGGUUGUACAUAUAAUGAUGUUUCCUUUGGGUCGCAUUGAUCUCCAAAACCAAAUGUAUUUAUUAUAGAAAAUAUAGAAGAUUAUACCUUUAUUAUAAAUUUAACAUAAUAUUUUAAUGUUUUCAUUUGACUUAAAAGCUAUUAUUAUAUGUUUUCUAUAUUUAUCAAUACUAGUUUCAAAAAAAAAAUAAUGAUAAAAAAUAUUUUAUUAUUUUUCUGAAUGUUCUCCGGAGAAUAAUGAGAAUGUAGUGUUAGAACGAGUGGUGCGAAGAGGGAUUUUAAAUUUUAGAAGACUAAGAAGUUGGAUAGAGUCUAUUUUGUUGGUAAUAAAAGAUUUGGUUGAAAACACUUAGAAUGAAUCUAAUGGACUUGAAAUUGGACAACAACCUGCUAUUUUCUAAAGUGGUAAGACUUAUGUGGUAACCAAAAUAAAUUAAUUUUACUUGAAGUUCUUAAGGAUUUAUCCAUGUUUGUAGUCGAGUCUGAAACUUCAGAACUCAAUUACAAACAUAGAUAAAUCCUUAAGCACUUCAAGAAACAAGACAAUCCAUGAAAGCUUUAACACAUUCAUAAAAGUAAUUUUAUUUAAAAUAAGUUCAAUGGAAUGAAUUAAUCACUUAGAGCAAUAUUAUAAUACUUAAGAGAAGAAAUUUUAUAUCAGUCUUGAAGGCAAAUUACUGUCUUAAAUAGUAAUUUGAUAAAUAAAAAAAUAAGAAUUCCGAAUAAAAAUAAUAAUUUAACUCUAAUAAUUUAAUAAUUUAAAUAAUAAAUAACUCUCUUGAGGUAAUCAAACAAUUCUAGGAGGUGUCACUAGAAUUUUAAAAGUUCAUAAUUAACGGCCACUCUAACUGACACUAAAUAG